AACGAGACUAGAGUCACAUCUUCACAUGUCUGGUUGUCUUGGUGUGCUAUAGUUCUCGGACAUAAAUGUCUGAUGUCUAUUCACUGACUGUGAUGUCUCGUGUCUCAGCCAGCCACCGACUCAGUGACACAC
rnacentral:snoRNA from 1 species